UUUGAUCCUUCAGGCACAGUUUAUUUUGCUACCGAGCUUUACAAUAUUUCUUCAGUGUUGCUGAAAUUCAAAGCUGGCCUCUGGAGUCAGACUUCCUGGGUUAAAAUCCCAGAUCUACUAUUUAGUAUAUUCAUCAUCAUGUAGUAGUUACUUUCCAAGUUCAAUACCAUGAGUGUGGUUUGCCUUGACCUUCCAGCUCUCCAGACACUGUCCUGGGGGUGAUCAUUUGAAGAGGGGAUGUGUGUUUUUUCUUUGAAAUGUAUGUACGCUGAGUUCUACUGACAAG